rnacentral:rRNA from 1 species
GUCGAGAAUAAUUCACAAUGGACGAAAGUCUGAUGGUGCAACGCCGCGUGGAGGAUGACGGUCUUCGGAUUGUAAACUCCUGUCAUCCGGGAGUAAGACCUGGCUGUGAAUAGCAGACAGGGUUGAUAGUACCGGAAGAGGAAGGGACGGCUAACUUCGUGCCAGCAGCCGCGGUAAUACGAAGGUCCCGAGCGUUGUUCGGAAUCACUGGGCGUAAAGGGAGCGUAGGCGGCGUGGUAAGUCAGAUGUGAAAUCCCGGGGCUCAACCCCGGAACUGCAUCCGAUACUGCCGUGCUAGAGGAUUGGAGAGGUAGCUGGAAUUCUUGGUGUAGCAGUGAAAUGCGUGGAGAUCAAGAGGAACACUCGUGGCGAAAGCGAGCUUCUGGACAAUAUCUGACGCUGAGGCUCGAAGGCCAGGGUAGCGAAAGGGAUUAGAAACCCCUGUAGUCC